UCGUGGUUUAUGUGAUAAAAUAAGACUUUUUAGUUGAAUAUAUUGUUGAAGAAACGUACUAUUUAAGAGCUUUUUAUUAGUUUUCCUCCAGGUUUUUAAGAUCUAGGACUGCUUCAGAAUGGAUAUGUGCUUUAUGUAAUGUAAACAUUACAUUUCAAAGCAUCCAUCUAAGUUUUUUCGGUUUCCAAAAAACAAGACCGAGAGGAAUAGAUGGAUUUUAAAUAAAGAAAAAAGAAUGGGUCAACUUUAUUUGAUUUCAAUAUUCAGAAGAAAUUUAAUGUAAAAUCACCAGAAAAAAGAAGCGAACUGUAAAAAAUCUUGUGAUAGAGCUACUACCAGGACCUUCAAUCGAACCACUACCAGGACCUUCAAGUGAACCACUACCAGGACCUUUAACCAAACUACUGCCAGGGUCUUCAAAACGGGAUCUUGAAGUGAACUCAAUUGAUUAACCGUACGGAGUUGAGC